rnacentral:rRNA from 1 species
AGUGAACGCUGGCGGUAGGCCUAACACAUGCAAGUCGAACGGCAGCACAGUAAGAGCUUGCUCUUACGGGUGGCGAGUGGCGGACGGGUGAGGUAUACACCGGAAUCUACCUUUUCGUGGGGGAUAAUGUAGGGAAACUUACGCUAAUACCGCAUACGACCUACGGGUGAAAGCAGGGGAUCUUCGGACCUGGUGCGAUUGAAUGAGCCGAUGUCGGAUUAGCUAGUUGGCGGGGUAAAGGCCCACCAAGGCGACGAUCCGUAGCUGGUCUGAGAGGAAGAUUCGCUACCUGGGAAGUGAGAAUGGUCCGCGACUCCGGCGGUGGGACACAGCGCAGAAUAUUAGACAAUGGGGGCGAGGCGGAUCCAAGCCUACCGCGUCGGUGAAGAAGGAGUUCGGGUUGUAGAGUCCUUUUGUUGGGAGGGAAGAGCAGCAGGUUCAUACCCCGCUGUUCUGACGGUACCCGCAGAAUAAGCACCGGCUAACUUCGUG